GGUUAAGCGACUAAGCGUACACGGUGGAUGCCCUGGCAGUCAGAGGCGAUGAAGGACGUGCUAAUCUGCGAUAAGCGUCGGUAAGGUGAUAUGAACCGUUAUAACCGGCGAUUUCCGAAUGGGGAAACCCAGUGUGUUUCGACACACUAUCAUUAACUGAAUCCAUAGGUUAAUGAGGCGAACCGGGGGAACUGAAACAUCUAAGUACCCCGAGGAAAAGAAAUCAACCGAGAUUCCCCCAGUAGCGGCGAGCGAACGGGGAGCAGCCCAGAGCCUGAAUCAGUGUGUGUGUUAGUGGAAGCGUCUGGAAAGGCGCGCGAUACAGGGUGACAGCCCCGUACACAAAAAUGCACAUGCUGUGAGCUCGAUGAGUAGGGCGGGACACGUGGUAUCCUGUCUGAAUAUGGGGGGACCAUCCUCCAAGGCUAAAUACUCCUGACUGACCGAUAGUGAACCAGUACCGUGAGGGAAAGGCGAAAAGAACCCCGGCGAGGGGAGUGAAAAAGAACCUGAAACCGUGUACGUACAAGCAGUGGGAGCCUCUUUUAUGGGGUGACUGCGUACCUUUUGUAUAAUGGGUCAGCGACUUAUAUUCUGUAGCAAGGUUAACCGAAUAGGGGAGCCGAAGGGAAACCGAGUCUUAACUGGGCGUUAAGUUGCAGGGUAUAGACCCGAAACCCGGUGAUCUAGCCAUGGGCAGGUUGAAGGUUGGGUAACACUAACUGGAGGACCGAACCGACUAAUGUUGAAAAAUUAGCGGAUGACUUGUGGCUGGGGGUGAAAGGCCAAUCAAACCGGGAGAUAGCUGGUUCUCCCCGAAAGCUAUUUAGGUAGCGCCUCGUGAAUUCAUCUCCGGGGGUAGAGCACUGUUUCGGCAAGGGGGUCAUCCCGACUUACCAACCCGAUGCAAACUGCGAAUACCGGAGAAUGUUAUCACGGGAGACACACGGCGGGUGCUAACGUCCGUCGUGAAGAGGGAAACAACCCAGACCGCCAGCUAAGGUCCCAAAGUCAUGGUUAAGUGGGAAACGAUGUGGGAAGGCCCAGACAGCCAGGAUGUUGGCUUAGAAGCAGCCAUCAUUUAAAGAAAGCGUAAUAGCUCACUGGUCGAGUCGGCCUGCGCGGAAGAUGUAACGGGGCUAAACCAUGCACCGAAGCUGCGGCAGCGACGCUGAUGCGUUGUUGGGUAGGGGAGCGUUCUGUAAGCCUGCGAAGGUGUGCUGUGAGGCAUGCUGGAGGUAUCAGAAGUGCGAAUGCUGACAUAAGUAACGAUAAAGCGGGUGAAAAGCCCGCUCGCCGGAAGACCAAGGGUUCCUGUCCAACGUUAAUCGGGGCAGGGUGAGUCGACCCCUAAGGCGAGGCCGAAAGGCGUAGUCGAUGGGAAACAGGUUAAUAUUCCUGUACUUGGUGUUACUGCGAAGGGGGGACGGAGAAGGCUAUGUUGGCCGGGCGACGGUUGUCCCGGUUUAAGCGUGUAGGCUGGUUUUCCAGGCAAAUCCGGAAAAUCAAGGCUGAGGCGUGAUGACGAGGCACUACGGUGCUGAAGCAACAAAUGCCCUGCUUCCAGGAAAAGCCUCUAAGCAUCAGGUAACAUCAAAUCGUACCCCAAACCGACACAGGUGGUCAGGUAGAGAAUACCAAGGCGCUUGAGAGAACUCGGGUGAAGGAACUAGGCAAAAUGGUGCCGUAACUUCGGGAGAAGGCACGCUGAUAUGUAGGUGAAGUCCCUCGCGGAUGGAGCUGAAAUCAGUCGAAGAUACCAGCUGGCUGCAACUGUUUAUUAAAAACACAGCACUGUGCAAACACGAAAGUGGACGUAUACGGUGUGACGCCUGCCCGGUGCCGGAAGGUUAAUUGAUGGGGUCAGCGCAAGCGAAGCUCUUGAUCGAAGCCCCGGUAAACGGCGGCCGUAACUAUAACGGUCCUAAGGUAGCGAAAUUCCUUGUCGGGUAAGUUCCGACCUGCACGAAUGGCGUAAUGAUGGCCAGGCUGUCUCCACCCGAGACUCAGUGAAAUUGAACUCGCUGUGAAGAUGCAGUGUACCCGCGGCAAGACGGAAAGACCCCGUGAACCUUUACUAUAGCUUGACACUGAACAUUGAGCCUUGAUGUGUAGGAUAGGUGGGAGGCUUUGAAGUGUGGACGCCAGUCUGCAUGGAGCCGACCUUGAAAUACCACCCUUUAAUGUUUGAUGUUCUAACGUUGACCCGUAAUCCGGGUUGCGGACAGUGUCUGGUGGGUAGUUUGACUGGGGCGGUCUCCUCCUAAAGAGUAACGGAGGAGCACGAAGGUUGGCUAAUCCUGGUCGGACAUCAGGAGGUUAGUGCAAUGGCAUAAGCCAGCUUGACUGCGAGCGUGACGGCGCGAGCAGGUGCGAAAGCAGGUCAUAGUGAUCCGGUGGUUCUGAAUGGAAGGGCCAUCGCUCAACGGAUAAAAGGUACUCCGGGGAUAACAGGCUGAUACCGCCCAAGAGUUCAUAUCGACGGCGGUGUUUGGCACCUCGAUGUCGGCUCAUCACAUCCUGGGGCUGAAGUAGGUCCCAAGGGUAUGGCUGUUCGCCAUUUAAAGUGGUACGCGAGCUGGGUUUAGAACGUCGUGAGACAGUUCGGUCCCUAUCUGCCGUGGGCGCUGGAGAACUGAGGGGGGCUGCUCCUAGUACGAGAGGACCGGAGUGGACGCAUCACUGGUGUUCGGGUUGUCAUGCCAAUGGCACUGCCCGGUAGCUAAAUGCGGAAGAGAUAAGUGCUGAAAGCAUCUAAGCACGAAACUUGCCCCGAGAUGAGUUCUCCCUGACUCCUUGAGAGUCCUGAAGGAACGUUGAAGACGACGACGUUGAUAGGCCGGGUGUGUAAGCGCAGCGAUGCGUUGAGCUAACCGGUACUAAUGAACCGUGAGGCUUAACCUU
rnacentral:rRNA from 1 species